CAAAGCACUUUGAAGAGAGAGUUAAAAGAGGACGUGAAACCGAUGAAGUGGAAACGGACAGAGCUGGCGUAUCUGGCCCGCAUUCAGCUUUCGGGCGCUGGCCCUCGUGCCCUCUGGUUCCAGACUGGGCCUGGGGUGCGUGGCGCUGGCGUCUGGCGGUGCAUUUGCGGGUGGAGUGCGCUGAGGCGCUCGGCUCAGCGGCAUGAGCUCGGCCUUGAGGCCAAUCCAGCAAUGGGUCUGGUACCCGGGUCGGGGGAGUGCUGUUUGGGCUGGGUGUUCGCUGUUUGGCAAUGGUUUCGGGUCCGUAGGGGUGCCGAGCUGUCGGUUGGAGGCGGUCGCGUGCGACACGUGCCAGCAGGCGGUUCGGUCCUUUGCGGGCUCCCAUCUGCCCGGCCUCGGUGUAAAAGCCGGUCAUCUGUCCGACCCGUCUUGAAACACGGACCAAGGAGUUUAGCGUGUGCGCGAGUCAUUGGGCGUUGAAAACCCAAAGGCGCAAUGAAAGUGAAGGUCUGCCUUGUGCAGCUGAUGUGUGAUCCUGGGCACCGCGGUGCCCGGGCGCAACAUAGUCCCGUCCCGACUGCAUGCAGUGGGGCGGAGACAGAGCGUACGCGCUGAGACCCGAAAGAUGGUGAACUAUUCCUGAGCAGGAUGAAGCCAGAGGAAACUCUGGUGGAAGUCCGAAGCGAUUCUGACGUGCAAAUCGAUCGUCUGACUUGG
rnacentral:rRNA from 1 species